rnacentral:rRNA from 1 species
UACGGGGGGGGCAAGCGUUGUUCGGAAUUACUGGGCGUAAAGGGCGCGUAGGCGGCCUUCUAAGUCAGACGUGAAAUCCCUCGGCUUAACCGGGGAACUGCGUCUGAUACUGGAGGGCUUGAAUUCGGGAGAGGGAUGUGGAAUUCCAGGUGUAGCGGUGAAAUGCGUAGAUAUCUGGAGGAACACCGGUGGCGAAGGCGGCAUCCUGGACCGGUAUUGACGCUGAUGCGCGAAAGCCAGGGGAGCAAACGGG